rnacentral:lncRNA from 1 species
AUCUCCAGGCAGGUGUCUCUUUUAUUUUGGUGUCAUUUCCCUCAGAGAUGAUUCCCAGGAUCUCCAGGCAGGUGUCUCUUCUUUUUUCAUGGCAUUUCCCCUCAGAGAUGAUCUUCAGGAUCUCCAGGCAGGUGUCUCUUUUAUUUUGGUGCCAUUUCCCUCAGAGAUCAUCUCCAGGAUCUCCAGGCAGGUAUCUCUUUUAUUUUGGUGUCAUUUCCCUCAGACAUGAUCUCCAUGCAGGUGUCUCUUCUUUUUUAGUGCCAUUUCUCCUCACAGAUCAUCUCCAGGAUCUCCAGGCANCUUUCAGUGCACACAAGAUUUCUGGAUCUCCCAGCACUGGUGAUGCUGCCCUGGAUCUGAAAGCUCCAUCAGUCACCAAAUUGCUCAGGGUUUUGUCAUCCCAAAGGCCUUUCCCAGCUCUUUAUGAGGUGCUAAAUUCUCUGGGUUCACCCUGGGCCGCUGCAUCCUUGCUGGUGGCUCGUGUUCCUGCUGUCUGUGGGAAAUGAUUUGAAGCUGGGAGGAUGAGCUGGGGGGCAGCUUUUUAAUUCCUGACAUUUUUUAUUUUUUUUUAAACUCCUGACACAUUUCACAGAGAUGUUCUCCUGCCUCAGGACGUGCUCAUCCCACAGAAGGGGAUGCAGCAAAACCAACCUGGGGCUGCUCCCUCCAGUCUCUGCUUCCCGAAUUUGUCACAUCUCCAAGGAGCUCAGGGAAGACUGAAGGGAUGUUGAAGGUGCAGAAACACCUGGCAAACACCUCCAGAGCUGUGUGUUGGGAUGAGGAUGAGGAUGAGGAUGAAGCUCUGCUGCUCCCCUGCAGCCCCUGGUUCUCCCCACACUUCCCCUGACAGAAAUGUGACAUUUUAUAUUAUAUUUAUAUUUAUAUAUAAUAUUUAUAUAAUUUAUAUAAAUAUAUAAUAUUUAUAUAAUUUAUAUAUAUUAUAUUUAUAUUUAUAUUUAUAUUUAUAUUUAUAAUGUGCCAUUUUAUUUUAUAUUCAGCUCAAACUCCUGUUCUUUUUGCUGAGUUUGGUGCAAUUGGGGCCGAGGGGAGGCAGGAGGAAUUCCUUCAAACCUCUGAUUCCAGGGAUGUGGCUGCCCAGAGAGCCACAGCCAUUCUUCUGAGCGUUUCUGCUCUUUCCUUAAUCAUCUCCAGAUUUUCUGCUUGCUGCUGACUUCAAAGCAGGCACUCUUGAGGUGCAGCCUCCCAAAAUGAUACUGAAAGCUGGUGUCUUCAUCCCCCAGGAGGAGCACACAGAGCUCCCAGAUUUUUCUCAUCCUUUAGAGCUUUUUACCUCUUUUUUUUUCUUUUUUUUCUAUGACAUUUUUAAACACAGCCUUUGGUCACCCUGCAGAUGGGUGUUUUCUAGACUUUUGAGUUUUUCUCCAGGUCCCAGCGUGAUCACAGUUGGUUCACAGAGGGAUUUAUUUCAAGGAUUAUCAAUUCGCUGGGUUAUCUUUGGCAGCAGGAAGGGUUUUUUCUGAUAGAAUUUCAACCCCUGCCUUCUUU